rnacentral:tRNA from 1 species
UACAGAGCAACUGUCUUACACGCAGUAGGUCGAGAGUUCGAACCUCUCAA